AUUCCAGCUCCAAUAGCGUAUACUAAAGUUGUUGCAGUUAAAAAGCUCGUAGUUGGAUUUCUAAUCUCUCUUGGGGUUCCUUUUCUAAAGAAAUGUGCGACCAUUCAAGAGAGAUUAUCCUCGUGCCUAGCCUUUCUCACUUUCAUUAGUCAGGAAGGGGACGCACGUCAUUUACUGUGAGCAAAAUAGAGUGUUCAAAGCAGGCUUAGGCCAUGAAUAUAUCAGCAUGGAAUAAUAAGAUAGGACCUUGGUCUAUUUUGUUGGUUUACAUUCCAAGGUAAUGAUUAAUAGGGAUAGUUGGGGGUAUUCGUAUUCAAUUGUCAGAGGUGAAAUUCUUGGAUUUAUGGAAGACGAACUACUGCGAAAGCAUUUACCAAGGAUGUUUUCAUCA
rnacentral:rRNA from 1 species